GACGAACGCUGGCGGCGUGCUUAACACAUGCAAGUCGAACGGAAAGGCCCUGCUUUUGUGGGGUGCUCGAGUGGCGAACGGGUGAGUAACACGUGAGUAACCUGCCCUUGACUUUGGGAUAACUUCAGGAAACUGGGGCUAAUACCGGAUAGGAGCUCCUGCUGCAUGGUGGGGGUUGGAAAGUUUCGGCGGUUGGGGAUGGACUCGCGGCUUAUCAGCUUGUUGGUGGGGUAGUGGCUUACCAAGGCUUUGACGGGUAGCCGGCCUGAGAGGGUGACCGGCACCAUUGGGACUGAGAUAAGGCCCAGUCUCGUACGGGAGGCAGCAGUGGGGAAUAUUGCACAAUGGGCGGAAGCCGGAUGCAGCAACGCCGCGUGCGGGAUGACGGCCUUCGGGUUGUAAACCGCUUUCGCCUGUGACGAAGCGUGAGUGACGGUAAUGGGUAAAGAAGCACCGGCUAACUACGUG
rnacentral:rRNA from 1 species